rnacentral:rRNA from 1 species
UACGUAGGGUGCGAGCGUUGUCCGGAAUUAUUGGGCGUAAAGAGCUUGUAGGCGGUUUGUCGCGUCUGCCGUGAAAAUUCGAGGCUCAACCUCGAACUUGCGGUGGGUACGGGCAGACUAGAGUGUGGUAGGGGAGACUGGAAUUCCUGGUGUAGCGGUGAAAUGCGCAGAUAUCAGGAGGAACACCGAUGGCGAAGGCAGGUCUCUGGGCCACUACUGACGCUGAGAAGCGAGAGCAUGGGGAGCGAACAGG